rnacentral:rRNA from 1 species
CCUACGGGUGGCAGCAGUGGGGAAUAUUGCGCAAUGGGCGAAAGCCUGACGCAGCGACGCCGCGUGAGGGAUGAAGGUCUUCGGAUCGUAAACCUCUGUCAGCAGGGAAGAACGGUCACUGUGCUAAUCAGCAGUGAAUUGACGGUACCUGCAAAGGAAGCACCGGCUAACUCCGUGCCAGCAGCCGCGGUAAUACGGAGGGUGCGAGCGUUAAUCGGAUUUACUGGGCGUAAAGCGCUCGUAGGCGGUAUGUCAAGUCAAGGGUGAAAUCCCCGGGCUCAACGUGGGAACUGCCUUUGAAACUGGCAAACUGGAGUGUGUGAGAGGAUAGUGGAAUUCCAGGUGUAGGAGUGAAAUGCGUAGAUAUCUGGAGGAACAUCAGUGGCGAAGGCGACUAUCUGGCACAUAACUGACGCUGAGGAGCGAAAGCGUGGGUAGCAAACAGGAUUAGAUACCCUUGUAGUC